AACGAACGCUGGCGGCAGGCUUAACACAUGCAAGUCGAACGCCCCGCAAGGGGUGUGGCCGCCGGGUGAGUACCGCGUGGGAACAUACCCUUUUCUACGGAAUAGCUCUGGGAAACUGGAAUUAAUACCGUGUACGCCCUACGGGGGAAGGAUUUAUCGGGGAAGGAUUGGCCCGCGUUGGAUUAGCUAGUUGGUGGGGUAAAGGCCUACCAAGGCGACGAUCCAUAGCUGGUCUGAGAGGAUGAUCAGCCACAUUGGGACUGAGACACGGCCCAAACUCCUACGGGAGGCAGCAGUGGGGAAUAUUGGACAAUGGGCGCAAGCCUGAUCCAGCCAUGCCGCGUGAGUGAUGAAGGCCUUAGGGUUGUAAAGCUCUUUCACCGAUGAAGAUAAUGACGGUAGUCGGAGAAGAAGCCCCGGCUAACUUCGU
rnacentral:rRNA from 1 species